GAUGAAGAACGCAGCGAAAUGCGAUAAGUAAUGUGAAUUGCAGAAUUCAGUGAAUCAUCGAAUCUUUGAACGCACAUUGCGCCCGCCAGUAUUCUGGCGGGCAUGCCUGUUCGAGCGUCAUUUCAACCAUCAAGCCCCCGGCUUGUGUUGGGGACCUGCGGCUGCCGCAGGCCCUGAAAAGCAGUGGCGGGCUCGCUGUCACACCGAGCGUAGUAGCAUACAUCUCGCUCUGGGCGUGCUGCGGGUUCCGGCCGUUAAACCCCCCACUGUAACCCCAAAGGUUGACCUCGGAUCAGGUAGGAAUACCCGCUGAACUUAAGCAUAUCAAUAAGCGGAGGA
rnacentral:misc_RNA from 1 species